CAUAAUUAAAUAAAGAAAUUUCAUUAAUAAAUUCAAACAAAUAAACGAAUGUUUACCAUAUAACUUUAAUCAUAAGGUGUUUAAUUGCUAAUGGCAACAGAAAACAUAAACAAGAAGAAAAUACAAAAUAUACUCAAGAGAAGAGUUGGGUAAACCCUAGUUGAUCCUUGAUGCUUGCCUGCACCUUGAACUGUGAAGUUUUCGAAUGAAUAAAAGUUUUUGCAAGGGUCUCUAUAUAUAGACAACUUUCGAACUGGGUUUCUAGGUUUUUUCCACUUCAUUAACCUUCAAAAACAACUCAUAAGGCAAAAUUACCUAGAACCAUGCGCCUCGAACGCAUGUUGAGGCAUAUAGGGAAAAUAAUUUUUCCUUCUCAUAGGUGUCAUGGACCUGGGGUGCAUGAGGCGCGACAUGGGGUAUGAGGCAGGAAAAUAGGCAGAAAAGGUUGUUUUUCUUCAUUGUUUGAGUGAUCUUCUUUGAUGCUUUCAUCUUGAUACCUGGGACAUUAUUUUUCCUAAUUGUAUUAUCUUAAAAAAAAACUUCUUGAACUCCUUUGAUCUUCAUUAUCUUGCCUACAUAACUCUAUGUGAUGUCUUGAUUUGCUGAUUUACACAAUUUUUUUCACUAAAAUGACUCAAAACACCUAUGAAAUUGUCGGUUUUGGGAAGAAAUAGAAUUACAUGGCAUCAAAUGGAAACAAUACAAAAUUUCCCUUGAACUAGAAGCACCUCCUCUAAAAAAAAUCUCUUAAAUGACCUAAUAAUCUAUUAAAAUGACUCGAAGCAUUGCUAAAAUAACGCAAAAAAUUAUGUCAUCACAAGCCCAAACAUAAAUUGUUGCAUGUCUUCAAGUAAAAUAAUAAGUACCAAAUUAUAGUUAUUUUCU
rnacentral:lncRNA from 1 species